rnacentral:misc_RNA from 1 species
GAAAUUGAAACUUAUGCCAAGGCCUCUUCAGGCUAGAGAUAUUAUGUCCAAAAGAAUAUCAUGGUGCAUGUUGCUGCUGCGACAGACGAUUCUUGAUGUCGUGAAACAGGACCAUAAUGCAUAAAACGAAAUGAAUGUUUGAGAGAAAUGACUUGUGAGAGCAAUUUACAGCAUUUACAGUCUCAAUGAAGCAUGAACACUUGAUUAUAUUGCCUUCUCAGUUUUCACCA